GCCAGGCCAUAAUUCAGGGGUAGAACAUCUGCUAUGAAUGCAGAAGGCACCAGGUUCAGUCCCUGGCAUCCCAGGGUA